UAUCGCGGCGACCGGCGCACGGGUGCGUAACGCGUAUGCAACCUACCUUUAACAGGGGCAUAACACUGAGAAAUUGGUACUAAUUCCCCAUAACAUUCGAGAAGGCAUCUUCUUGGGUUAAAAACUCCGGUGGUUAAAGAUGGGCAUGCGUUGUAUUAGCUAGUUGGUGAGGUAACGGCUCACCAAGGCAACGAUACAUAGGGGGACUGAGAGGUUAACCCCCCACAUGGUACUGAGACACGGACCAA
rnacentral:rRNA from 1 species